rnacentral:lncRNA from 1 species
AAAAAUCUCUCUACCUACCUCUUGCUGGCCUGCCACCCCAUGGCUGGAUCUGAUCAAAGAGCGUCAGAUCCAACCAGUCAGAUCUCACGCAUGCGCUCUAAGGGAGCACAGAUCGGUGCCCCCGGAUGCGUGGCCAAAUCACACUCCCCGUGGAAAGACGCUGUCAGAUUUGAUAUUUCACGAUCAGAUCCGAUUGUGGGGUGGCCAGUCGAUGUGAGGGAGCGUUAUUGGGCAGCUGGUGCGAAAGAAAAUAGUAUAAAAAAGGGACAAAGAAAAAGGGUACGUUAGACAUUUUAUAUUUAUCUGUUAAUGCCGUUCAUACAUUUAGAACGGACUGUAUAUUUCGAAAAUUAAUGACUUGUAUGGAAUUAUAUGCAAAACUCAAGCAAGUUAAUGUAUUUUACCCUUAAAUUUU